rnacentral:lncRNA from 1 species
GUAUGUCAGUGAUUCUCAACCUUCCUAAUACUGUGACCCUUUAAUGCAUUUCCUCAUGUGUGGUGACCCCCAACCAUAAACUUAUUUUUGUUGCUACUUCAUAGCUGUGAUUUUGCUACUGUCACGAAUCAUAAUGUAAACAUCCGUGUUUUUCAAUGGUCUUAGGUACCCCAGUGAAAGGGUUGUUUGACCCCCUCCCCAGGGGUCAAGAUCCACAGAUUGAGAAACACUGCCAUGUAAACUACACUGGACUUGAACUUGUAUUUAUCAGUACUCUGUCUCUGAGAUUACAGAUGAGCACCAGAGAGGAGAACCAACAGAUGAGCACCAGAGACCAGCACCAUCAGAGAGAGUUAAGGUUUUUCCUAAAUAAAAAUAGCAUCUUCUCCCUGGUUCUGAAAACAAUGCAAGUACAUCAUCACAAGUCACCCAGCCAGGGCCACUGUUGCUGCUCUUCUGUGUCUGUCGGGUGCCCACACGACCCAGCUGCAGGUGCACCCUGCCUUGCUGCCCACUGCUAUGAUCUCCUCUAUCCAGGGGCUUGCCUUGGUCGUUCUAACUGUCUCCCUCUUUAUGAGAGCACAGAUCAGCUCAUUUAACCAAGCUCCUAUUGUUAUACACUUAUAUUACCUCUGUCUUCUUUUUUAUUCUUUUAAAAAAGAUUUUAUUUAUUUAUUAUGUAUAUAACAUUCUGCUUCCAUGUAUAUCUGCACACCAGCAGAGGGCACCAGAUCUCAUAACAGAUGGUUGUGAGCCCCAUGUGGUUGCUGGGAAUUGAACUCAGGACCUCUGGAAGAGCAGCCAGUGCUCUUAACCGCUGAGCCUUCUCUCCAGCCCCUUCUUUUUUAUUCUUUACCAUCUUGUUUAAAAACAAUUACAGAAUGCUAUCUUGGGGCUGCUGAGCUGGCUCAGGGGUGCCACUGUUCUUGCAGGGAACCUGUGUUGGGUUCUUAGCAGCCAUGUUGGUCAAGUUACAACUACCAAUGACUCCAGGGGACUUGAUGUCCUCUUUGCACUCAUGUGCACAAACCUACAUACAUAUAUAUGCAUAUACAUAAUAAAAUAAUAAAUCUUUAAGAAUAAGUCUCACACAAUACACAUAUAUGCAUGAUCUUGAAGCUGACCCAUCCAUUCUUCCUUUUGAUUGCCGAAUAGCCAUCUGUGGCAUAACUGCACCACACAUAACAAACCUUCCUCUAUCUUAGGACAUUUUCAUAAUUUAAAGUAUUAUUAUUAUUACUAUUACAAAAAGCUGCUACAAGAACUGGAUACUGUCAUGUAGAAGACUGCAGGUAGAUCUGUGUCUAUUGCCAUGCACAAAACUUAAGUCCAAAUGGAUCAAAGACCUCAACAUAAAUCCAGCCACACUGAACCUCUUAGAAGAGAAAGUGGGAGGUACCCUUGAACGAAUUGGUACAGGAGAUUGCUACACCAGUAUCACAGACACUGAGAUUGACAAUUAAUAAAUGGGACUUCCUGAAACUGAGAAGCUUCUGUAAAGCAAAGGACACAGUCAACAAGACAAAAUGGCAGCCCACAGAAUGGGAAUAGAUAUUCACCAACCCCACAUCUGACAGAGGGCUGAUCUCCAAAAUUUACAAAGAACUCAAGAAGCUAAUCUCCAAAAUACCAAAUAAUCCAAUUAAAAAGUGGGGUACAGAAAUAAAUAGAGAAUUCUCAAUAGAGGAGUCUAAAAUGGCUGAUAGACACUUAAGAAAGUGCUCAACAUCCUUAGCCAUAAGGGAAAUGCAACUCAAAACAACUCUGAGACCAUCUUACUCCUGUCAGAAUGGCUAAAAUCAAAAACACCAAUGACAGUUUAUACUGGAGAGGAUGGGGAGAAAGGGGAACACUGCUGGUGGGAGUGCCAACUUGUACAGUCACUUUGGAAAUCAGUAUGGUGAUUCUCAGGAAAAUGGGAAUCAGUCUACCACAAGAUCCAGCAAUUCCACUCUUAGUCAUAUACCUAAAAGAUGCACAUUCAUAAAACAAGGACAUCUUUUCCACUCUGUCCAUUGCAGCAUUAUUUGUAAUAGCCAGAACCUGGAAGCAACCUAGAUGCCCCUCAACUGAAGAAUGGAUAGAGAAAAUGUGGUACAUUUACACAAUGGAGUACUACUCAGUAGAAAAAAAACAAUGGAAUCUUGAAAUUUGCAGGCAAGUGGAUGGAACUAGAAGAACCAUCCUGAGUGAGGUAACCCAGUCACAAAAAGACAAAAAUGCUCUUGAGGAACCCACUUGUUCACCCUUCUGAUUUGCUUCUAAUACCAAGAAAUUGUCAAAUGGUCCACAUGGAGUUGGCUGGCAGCUUCUCGUGUAGUUUUGUGAGCGGAUCUGUGAUUGCUCUCAGGCGAUCAUUGUCAACUUCUAAUGGCCUGGCCUGACACGCCUCAUCUUCAAGAGACAGUGAGCUGAGAAUAGCUGGGAGCAGUACAUUGUUCGGAGCACUUUUUAGGAGGCCGCUGCUUCCCAGGGAUGGAUUUCUCCUCUGUGUUAGUUCAGAGCAGUCUUUUCUUUCUCUGUCUUUCAACUUCCCCAUCUAUGGCAUGGGGACGGUGACAUCGCCUGUCCCAUUGGGUUGCUUUGAGGGUCAGAAGAGACAGGGCGAGUCAGGCACAAUUCUGGAUCCUUGGACUCUAGAGGCAAAGCUGCUGUUCCCAAUGGUAUUUAUUGCACUAGUUAUAGUUGUUGUUUUCAAAUCGCAGUGAUUCCAAAGGUGUUCCCAGAAGAAUAACCCAGGGGACAAAAAGGAAAGAUCUAGAAGACUUCUGCAAGUGAUGAAGGAUAUCCUUGACUCUAUAAAGAGUUCAUUAAAAAUUCAUAUCCAAGUGGUGCACAUCCUGGCUGCCUGGGGCUCCUGCCAAGAAGGGCUGUGCCUGGGCUCAGUCAGUCAAAAAUAUGGUGGAGACAGCUCCAACUGCUGCCCACCAGCCCAGCCAUUCCCUGCCCACAUCCCCGGAUACUGACCUCUGCCUGCAUAUGUCUGCCACCUUCUGCAGUAGGCUUCUCCAGUCUAGGGCUGUGACCCUUUAAUAUAUUUCCUCAUGUUGUGGUGACCCCAAGCAUAAAAU